UGUUUUCACGAUGAGGAUAGUAAAGCUCCCUCUUCCAAAUUUAAAGUUGUGGAAGUCUGCUGGCUGAAUCGAACCAUAAAUCUUAUGGCCACCACUGAGUGA
rnacentral:snoRNA from 1 species